GCUCCUUCCCAGCAGAGGGACUCCCUCCAGCCCUUCUGCCCAGCUCACGAUGCUGGGGCAAGUUCCAACACAGCCACACAAUUGUAUCCACUCUCCAUCCAUGCAGCAGGGCUGUGUUCUGCGCUCUGGCACCAUCCACCCUUGCUCCCAGCCCCCACCAGCAGAAACAGAGGUCAAGAAGACCCCACAAUGUAAGUUAGCACAGCUGGAGCCAGCAGCAGCCAGGAAAGUAACCACAAUCA